CGGAGGCAGCAGUAGGGAAUUUUGCGCAAUGGGCGAAAGCCUGACGCAGCAACACCGCGUGAGGGAUGAAGGCCCUCGGGUUGUAAACCUCUUUUCUCAGGGAAGAAUAAUGACGGUACCUGAGGAAUAAGUCACGGCUAACUACGUGCCAGCAGCUGCGGCAAUACGUAGGUGGCAAGCGUUAUCCGGAUUCACUGGGCGUAAAGAGCGCGUAGGUGGUCCUUCAAGUCAGAUGUGAAAUCUCCCGGCUUAACUGGGAGCGGUCAUCUGAUACUGCUGGACUUGAGGGCGGUAGAGGGAGGUGGAAUUCCCGGUGUAGUGGUGAAAUGCGUAGAUAUCGGGAGGAACACCAGUGGCGAAAGCGGCCUCCUAGGCCACUCCUGACACUGAGGCGCGAAAGCGUGGGGAGCGAACAGGAUUAGAUACCCCUGUA
rnacentral:rRNA from 1 species